rnacentral:rRNA from 1 species
GACGAACGCUGGCGGCGUGCUUAACACAUGCAAGUCGAACGGAAAGGCCCUGCUUUUGUGGGGUGCUCGAGUGGCGAACGGGUGAGUAACACGUGAGUAACCUGCCCUUGACUUUGGGAUAACUUCAGGAAACUGGGGCUAAUACCGGAUAGGAGCUCCUGCUGCAUGGUGGGGGUUGGAAAGUUUCGGCGGUUGGGGCUGGACUCGCGGCUUAUCAGCUUGUUGGUGGGGUAGUGGCUUACCAAGGAUUUGACGGAUAGCCGGCCUGAGAGGGUGACCGGCCACAUUGGGACUGAGAUACGGCCCAGACUCCUACGGGAGGCAGCAGUGGGGAAUAUUGCACAAUGGGCGGAAGCCUGAUGCAGCAACGCCGCGUGCGGGAUGACGGCCUUCGGGUUGUAAACCGCUUUCGCCUGUGACGAAGCGUGAGUGACGGUAAUGGGUAAAGAAGCACCGGCUAACUACGUG